UCAUCAAGAACCUGUAGGGGCUGGGGGAGGAGCCUGCAUCAUACAAAGAGCUUCACUGACUGAAUCUCCCAAAGAAGGACACUCCACACUCCAGACACUCAUCCCUGAGCUAAGCUCCUCCCUCCCCCAGGCCAGGGCUCCUCACUGGCCUAUGGGUCCCCUCCAUUCCCGACUCCUUGAAGUUCCUAGAGGCACCUGGGUGUCCAGAAACCCCAGCUUUGGCCCCAGCCUGUGUCGGUUCUCACCCUGGGGUUGGAGUCCCCCAUCUUAGACUGCAUCCCACCACCCCUGAGCAUGUGUCUUCAGAGAGCCUAACCACCCGCUGGCUGUGAAGAAGGAAUGUAGCCUAGCACACACCUCCUUUCACAUUAAAGAACACACAGUUCUCAGCACACGUAUGAGGUUGCUCACAACCACCUGUAACUCAAGCUCCAAGAGAUCCACUGCCCUCUUCUAGCUUCUGUGGCUGUUUCUCAAGACUUAGAAUGAUGUGAGCCAAGGAGAGACUCAGCGGCUAUCAUCUCUGCAGCCAUCUCGGGCUAUUUACUUACAGACUCCAUUGACUGACCUGCGCACUGGGUCAGUGGGAAAAGGUGCUUGCUGCCAAACCUGCUGACCUGAACCUGAGGAACCCCGUGGUGAGGAGAGAACUGACUUCUCAAAGUUGUGCCCUCACCUCCGUGCACUCUGGUUUGCACACGAACACACAAUGCUCUUUUAAUAAAAUACUAAGGUAACACUUUAGCUACACAGUGUAAAGCCUGCCUAGUAGCCUUAGAAAGAGCAAGCUAUGAUAAGGCUCAAGUAUAUGAGACUUAAACCAGCUAUUGUUUGCAAGUCAUUAUUGCAUUAUAUAACUAGUACAUUAAAGACACAUUUAUAUCCUCUUUUGUUGGGGAGGCUCUUUGUUUGUUUGUUUUUGAGAUGGGAGCGCAUGUUGUCCUGACUGCCCUCAAA